GAACAAAUUGAAUCCAGUCUUGAAAUAGAGGCCGUGAAGGAGAUCCCGGUGGAGGCAGCGGUGAAUGGGCACGUUGCUCCAGAAGUCUCCAUUGAAGGCUAAGCCACGCCCCUAAGAUUCACUCAGUCAUUACAGUGGACUGAAGACUUUACCGGGAGACAAUCCUUUACCUUUUCUAUUCAUUUUUAGGGCUUACAAAAGGGACCGCGGGGAAAAUCAAAGGGACAUUCACAUUUUUAAAAGUGCCUUUUCUGCCCGCGUUCUCCCCAAGACAACCAAGCAAUACUGCUGCGGUAAAACUGCCACAGGAACGGACUCUUGUCACCAUGCAUCGCAGCUCCCUUCACAUAUCAUUCUGUAUCUCCCAAAGGCAUGUAUUGUGGAUUUGUGUCAACUUUUGUAAAUGAAAUGCACACAAUCCAUAUGUGUAGUAUAAGAAUCGCUGAAUGAAGCUGUAGUUUGUAUCUGGGCUGUGUCGGUAAGGGUGGGAGGGAUAGUAUACUUGUCCUUAGGGUACUUUUCUGUCCUUCUCUGAUAUUUCAACAUCCUUGUAUUUUGCUCGUCAUUCUCUGUUUUCUGAAAGAGGCAUGGCAGCAGAAUGUACCCUAAGCAUGUCCUCUAGUAGUCCUGGGCUGUUCAUCCCACAGUGGUGCCUUUGCUCGUUUAGUGUCCGUGACUCCAUUCGAGACGUUAACCUGUCAGAUGGGAAAAACCCAGGGGUUCAUCUGCAGACCAAAGGGAGCCAAAACAAGCGCCUUGGGGGUCUCCCACUCCCAAGAAACACGCACACUAGUAAUCACAAUAGAAAAGGGCUUCUUUUGCCCCCCAACCCGGUUCCUCCAGGUGCCUCUGCUUUUCCCUGCAGGGCGGUGGGAAAAAGGGGUCCAAUCUGGCAUUAAACUGAAGCAAAUGUUCUGCCGUCAGAAGCUGAGGACUGACUUGAGGGCACCGGCUCUGAGCUCGUGUGUUCUGUCUGUCUGUCUCCUUUAUAUUUCCCUCUCUUCUUUUCCAGUCCUCGUUUUGUAUAGACUAUACGAUGUGGUUCAGUUUUGCAGUCUGUGCUCUGGGGGAGAGUUCGUGGAAUUGGCAUGUGAUUUGAUGAUGAUGAUGAUGACGAUGGUGAUGAUGAUGACGAUGAUGAUGAUGAUGGGUUGAGUUGGACUUCGUCUACUUUUGGAAUAAAGCUGUGACUCA